rnacentral:rRNA from 1 species
UACGUAGGGCGCAAGCGUUAUCCGGAAUUAUUGGGCGUAAAGAGCUCGUAGGCGGUCUGUUGCGUCGGCUGUGAAAACCCGGGGCUCAACUCCGGGCCUGCAGCCGAUACGGGCAGACUAGAGUUCGGCAGGGGAGACUGGAAUUCCUGGUGUAGCGGUGAAAUGCGCAGAUAUCAGGAGGAACACCGGUGGCGAAGGCGGGUCUCUGGACAGUUCCUGACGCUGUGGCACGAAGGUCAGGGGAGCAAACGGG